UACGUAGGGGGCGAGCGUUGUCCGGAUUUAUUGGGCGUAAAAGGCUUGUAGGUGGCCACGCCAAGUCGGAUGUGAAAUCUCCCGGCUCAACUGGGAGGGGUCAUUCGAUACUGGCGGGCUCGAGGCCGGUAGGGGGAAGUGGAAUUCCCGGUGUAGUGGUGGAAUGCGUAGAUAUCGGGAGGAACACCAGUGGCGAAGGCGGCUUCCUGGACCGGUUCUGACACUGAGGAGCGAAAGCGUGGGGAGCAAACAGG
rnacentral:rRNA from 1 species